rnacentral:rRNA from 1 species
AUAAGAGGUCCCGCCUGCCCUGUGACAUAAGCUUUAACGGCCGCGGUAUUUUGACCGUGCAAAGGUAGCGUAAUCACUUGUCUUUUAAAUAGAGACCUGUAUGAAUGGCAUAACGAGGGCUGAGCUGUCUCCUCCCCCCGGUCAAUGAAAUUGAUCUGCCCGUGCAGAAGCGGGCAUAACUACAUAAGACGAGAAGACCCUAUGGAGCUUAAGACACAAAAGCAGCCCACGUAAACCCCCCUACCUUAGUUUAGGGAGAAACAAUAUGGCCCUCUGCCCUUUGUCUUUGGUUGGGGCGACCGCGGGGAAACAAAAAACCCCCACGUGGAACGGAUACCUCCCGAAACAAGACCCACAAGUCGAACAAGCAGAAAUUCUGACCAGAAAGAUCCGGCAAGGCCGAUCAACGGACCCAGUUACCCUAGGGAUAACAGCGCAAUCCCCUUUUAGAGCCCAUAUCGACAAGGGGGUUUACGACCUCGAUGUUGGAUCAGGACAUCCUAAUGGUGCAGCCGCUAUUAAGGGUUCGUUUGUUCAACGAUUAAAGUCCUACGUGAUC